rnacentral:rRNA from 1 species
ACUCAAAGGAAUUGACGGGGGCCCGCACAAGCGGUGGAUGAUGUGGAUUAAUUCGAUGCAACGCGAAAAACCUUACCUACCCUUGACAUGCCAGGGAGCCCUCUGAGAGGAGGGUGUGCCCGAAAGGGAGCCUGGACACAGGUGCUGCAUGGCUGUCGUCAGCUCGUGUCGUGAGAUGUUGGGUUAAGUCCCGCAACGAGCGCAACCCUUGCCUCUAGUUGCUACAUUCAGUUGGGCACUCUAGAGGGACUGCCGGUGACAAACCGGAGGAAGGUGGGGAUGACGUCAAGUCCUCAUGGCCCUUAUGGGUAGGGCUUCACACGUCAUACAAUGGCGCGUACAGAGGGUUGCCAACCCGCGAGGGGGAGCCAAUCCCAGAAAGCGCGUCGUAGUCCGGAUUGGGGUCUGCAACUCGACCCCAUGAAGUCGGAAUCGCUAGUAAUCGCGGAUCAGCAUGUCGCGGUGAAUACGUUCCCGGGCCUUGCACACACCGCCCGU